rnacentral:rRNA from 1 species
AUGGCAAUGGCAAUCUGCCUGCCGCCAUUUGUCACUGACGCGAUGGUGUCCAGUCAAGUUCUACGCGUGGUCCAUCUCUUGACCCCAGGAAAUCAAGAUGCAACACGGAAGCUUUUCGUUGAGCAUCCACAGAUUAGGGCCAAAUCCAGUGCCCCGGUGCGGUUAUUCGGGACUUUGUCAAACCAUGUGACGCAGCUUUUGACUACUUUUCAGCACGAGAUCAACACACAGGAGAUGCAUCCACACAAAAGUCUAGACAUCAGGACGCUGUAUGCCGGUCACCCGGUGAGGACGAUCAAAUUCUUUCAUCAUUUUCCUCUUAACAUCUUUUCGUGGCCAGGAUCACGCCGAUUGGCAAGCGGAGAGGGUCGCAUCUCGCCUCUGGCCAAAUGGUUGCAUAUCAUUAUCAACAUACCACCUUCUUGCAAAAAGAUACGCAAUGCUUAUGUGUGUUCGAGGAAAAAGUAG